rnacentral:rRNA from 1 species
AUGACCUGGCGGAAUGCUUUACACACGCAGUCGUAACGGCAGCACGGACUUCGGUCUGGUGGCGAGUGGCGAACGGGUGAGUAAUACAUCGGAACGUGCCCAGUCGUGGGGGAUAACGUAGCGAAAGCUACGCUAAUACCGCAUACGAUCUAAGGAUGAAAGCGGGGGAUCGCAAGACCUCGCGCGAUUGGAGCGGCCGAUGGCAGAUUAGGUAGUUGGUAGGGUAAAGGCCUACCAAGCCGACGAUCUGUAGCUGGUCUGAGAGGACGACCAGCCACACUGGGACUGAGACACGGCCCAGACUCCUACGGGAGUGCAGCAGUGGGGAAUUUUGGACAAUGGGCGAAAGCCUGAUCCAGCCAUUCCGCGUGCAGGAUGAAGGCCCUCGGGUUGUAAACUGCUUUUGUACGGAACGAAAAGGUCCUGGUUAAUACCUGGGGCUCAUGACGGUACCGUAAGAAUAAGCACCGGCUAACUACGUGCCAGCAGCCGCGGUAAUACGUAGGGUGCAAGCGUUAAUCGGAAUUACUGGGCGUAAAGCGUGCGCAGGCGGUGAUGUCAAGACAGAGGUGAAAUCCCCGGGGCUCAACCUGGGAACUGCCUUUGUGACUGCAUCGCUGGAGUACGGACAGAGGGGGAUGGAAUUCCGCAGUGUAGCAGUGAAAUGCGUAGAUAUGCGGAGGAACACCG